rnacentral:rRNA from 1 species
UACACAUGCAGUCGAGCGGUAGAGAAGAAGCUUGCUCUUUGAGGAGCGGCGGACGGGGGAGUAAAGGCUAGGAAUCUGCCUGGUAGUGGGGGAUAACGUUCGGAAACGGACGCUAAUACCGCAUACGUCCUACGGGAAGAAAGCAGGGGACUUCGGGCCUUGCGCUAUCAGAUGAGCCUAGGUCGGAUUAGCUAGUUGGUGAGGUAAUGGCUCACCAAGGCGACGAUCCGUAACUGGUCUGAGAGGAUGAUCAGUCACACUGGAACUGAGACACGGUCCAGACUCCUACGGGAGGCAGCAGUGGGGAAUAUUGGACAAUGGGCGAAAGCCUGAUCCAGCCAUGCCGCGUGUGUGAAGAAGGUCUUCGGAUUGUAAAGCACUUUAAGUUGGGAGGAAGGGCAUUAACUUAAUACGUUAGUGUUUUGACGUUACCGACAGAAUAAGCACCGGCUAACUCUGUGCCAGCAGCCGCGGUAAUACAGAGGGUGCAAGCGUUAAUCGGAAUUACUGGGCGUAAAGCGCGCGUAGGUGGUUUGUUAAGUUGGAUGUGAAAUCCCCGGGCUCAACCUGGGAACUGCAUUCAAAACUGACUGACUAGAGUAUGGUAGAGGGUGGUGGAAUUUCCUGUGUAGCGGUGAAAUGCGUAGAUAUAGGAAGGAACACCAGUGGCGAAGGCGACCACCUGGACUAAUACUGACACUGAGGUGCGAAAGCGUGGGGAGCAAACAGGAUUAGAUACCCUGGUAGUCCACGCUGUAAACGAUGUCAACUAGCCGUUGGGAGCCUUGAGCUCUUAGUGGCGCAGCUAACG